AGUGAACGCUGGCGGCAGGCUUAACACAUGCAAGUCGAGCGCCCCGCAAGGGGAGCGGCAGACGGGAGAGUAACACGUGGGAACAUACCUUUUGGUUCGGAACAACUGAGGGAAACUUCAGCUAAUACCGGAUAAGCCCUUACGGGGAAAGAUUUAUCGCCGAAAGAUUGGCCCGCGUCUGAUUAGCUAGUUGGUGAGGUAACGGCUCACCAAGGCGACGAUCAGUAGCUGGUCUGAGAGGAUGAUCAGCCUCACUGGGACUGAGACACGGCCCAGACUCCUACGGGAGGCAGCAGUGGGGAAUAUUGGACAAUGGGGGCAACCCUGAUCCAGCCAUGCCGCGUGAGUGAUGAAGGCCUUAGGGUUGUAAAGCUCUUUUGCCCGGGAAGAUAAUGACGGUACCGGGAGAAUAAGCCCCGGCUAACUUCGUG
rnacentral:rRNA from 1 species